rnacentral:rRNA from 1 species
AAACGUAGGGUGCUAGCGUUGUCCGGAAUUACUGGGUGUAAAGGGAGCGCAGGUGGCAGUGCAAGUUGGAUGUAAAAUCUACGGGCUCAACCCGUAUAAGCAUUCAAAACUGUGCAGCUUGAGUGAAGUAGAGGUAGGUGGAAUUUCCGGUGUAGCGGUGGAAUGCGUAGAUAUCGGAAGGAACAUCAGUGGCGAAGGCGACCUACUGGGCUUUAACUGACGCUGAGGCUCGAAAGCAUGGGUAGC